rnacentral:tRNA from 1 species
GCAGGGUCUGCCAUCUGGUGAUGGCCACGGUCUCACACGCCGUUGCCGGAGGGUUCGAUCCCCUCACCCUGUACCA